rfam:Oryza nivara chromosome 2, whole genome shotgun sequence.
UAUAAUUGACACCGUUGACUUUUUCUCACAUGUUUGACUAUUCGUCUUAUUCAAAAAAUUUACGUAAUUAUAAUUUAUUUUAUGAGUUGUUUUAUCAUUCAUAGUACUUUAAGUGUGAUUUAUAUCUUAUACAUUUGUAUAAAAUUUUUGAAUAAGACGAAUGGUCAAGCAUGAAAGAAAAAAUCAACGGCGUCAUCUAUU